rnacentral:lncRNA from 1 species
AGACCGAAGUGGCAUUCAGGCCAGUGUUCCGAUAUUCAGAUCGAAGUGGCAUUCAGGCCAGGUUUCCGGUAUCCAGACCGAAAUGGCAUUCAGGCCAGUGUUCCGAUAUUCAGAUCGAAGUGGCGUUCAGGCCAGUGUUCCGAUAUUCAGAUCGAAGUGGCGUUCAGGCCAAUUUUCCGAUGUUCAGAUCGAAGAAGUUUCCGACGUUCAGGUCGAUGCAGCUUAUGGCAUUCAGGCCAGCCUCUCGGUGUUCAAACCGAUAUUAAUAACCUCAUAUCUCCCGAUGUUCAGAUCGAAGUCAUUUCCAGUAUUCAGACUGAUGAGCGGCAUUCAGGCCAUGGU